rnacentral:rRNA from 1 species
AUUGAACGCUGGCGGCAUGCUUUACACAUGCAAGUCGAACGGCAGCGCGGGCUUCGGCCUGGCGGCGAGUGGCGAACGGGUGAGUAAUACAUCGGAACGUGCCCAGUAGUGGGGGAUAGCUCGGCGAAAACCGGUUUAAUACCGCAUACGACCUAAGGGUGAAAGCGGGGGAUCUUCGGACCUCGCGCUAUUGGAGCGGCCGAUGGCAGAUUAGCUAGUUGGUGGGGUAAAGGCCUACCAAGGCGACGAUCUGUAGCUGGUCUGAGAGGACGACCAGCCACACUGGGACUGAGACACGGCCCAGACUCCUACGGGAGGCAGCAGUGGGGAAUUUUGGACAAUGGGCGAAAGCCUGAUCCAGCAAUGCCGCGUGUGUGAUGAAGGCCUUCGGGUUGUAAAGCACUUUUGGCGGGAACGAAAAGGACUGUGCCAAUACCACGGUUCGAUGACGGUACCCGCAGAAUAAGCACCGGCUAACUACGUG